rnacentral:rRNA from 1 species
AGAUUGAACGCUGGCGGCAUGCUUUACACAUGCAAGUCGAACGGUAACGCGGGGGCAACCCUGGCGACGAGUGGCGAACGGGUGAGUAAUACAUCGGAACGUGCCCAGUAGUGGGGGAUAGUUCGGCGAAAGCCGGAUUAAUACCGCAUACGACCUACGGGUGAAAGCGGGGGAUCGCAAGACCUCGCGCUAUUGGAGCGGCCGAGUGGCAGAUUAGUCUUGGUUGGGUAGGGUAAAACGCCUACCGAAGGCGACGAUCUGUAGCUGGUCUGAGAGGACGACCAGCCACACGUGGGACUGGAGACCACCGGCCCAAGCCUACCGUACGGGAGCAGCAGGUGGGGUAAUUUGGACUAAGUGGG